UGGGGAAUAUUGCACAAUGGGGGAAACCCUGAUGCAGCGACGCCGCGUGAGCGAAGAAGGUUUUCGAAUCGUAAAGCUCUGUCCUAUGGGAAGAUAAUGACGGUACCAUAGGAGGAAGCCCCGGCUAACUACGUGCCAGCAGCCGCGGUAAUACGUAGGGGGCAAGCGUUGUCCGGAAUCACUGGGCGUAAAGGGUUCGCAGGCGGAAAUGCAAGUCAGUUGUGAAAGGCAGAGGCUCAACCUCUGUAAGCAAUUGAAACUGUAUUUCUUGAGAUGUGGAGAGGCAAGUGGAAUUCCUAGUGUAGCUGUGAAAUGCGUAGAUAUUAGGAAGAAUACCGGUGGCGAAGGCGACUUGCUGGACACAAACUGACGCUGAGGAACGAAAGCGUGGGUAGCAAACAGG
rnacentral:rRNA from 1 species